rnacentral:rRNA from 1 species
AUGAACGCUAGCUACAGGCUUAACACAUGCAAGUCGAGGGGCAGCAUGGUCUUAGCUUGCUAAGGCCGAUGGCGACCGGUGCACGGGUGAGUAACGCGUAUCCAACCUGCCUUACACUCUUGGACAGCCUUCUGAAAGGGAGAUUAAUACAAGAUGUUAUCAUGAGUAAGCAUUUUCGCAUGAUUAAAGGUUUACCGGUGUAAGAUGGGGAUGCGUUCCAUUAGAUAGUAGGCGGGGUAACGGCCCACCUAGUCUUCGAUGGAUAGGGGUUCUGAGAGGAAGGUCCCCCACAUUGGAACUGAGACACGGUCCAAACUCCUACGGGAGGCAGCAGUGAGGAAUAUUGGUCAAUGGACGAGAGUCUGAACCAGCCAAGUAGCGUGAAGGAUGAAGGUUCUAUGGAUUGUAAACUUCUUUUAUACGGGAAUAAACGAAUCCACGCGUGGAUUUUUGCAUGUACCGUAUGAAUAAGGAUCGGCUAACUCCGUGCCAGCAGCCGCGGUAAUACGGAGGAUCCGAGCGUUAUCCGGAUUUAUUGGGUUUAAAGGGAGCGUAGAUGGGUUGUUAAGUCAGUUGUGAAAGUUUGCGGCUCAACCGUAAAAUUGCAAUUGAUACUGGCAGUCUUGAGUACAGUUGAGGUAGGCGGAAUUCGUGGUGUAGCGGUGAAAUGCUUAGAUAUCACGAAGAACUCCGAUUGCGAAGGCAGCUUACUAACCUGUAACUGACAUUGAUGCUCGAAAGUGUGGGUAUCAAACAGGAUUAGAUACCCUGGUAGUCCACACGGUAAACGAUGAAUACUCGCUGUAGGCGAUAUACAGUCUGCGGCCAAGCGAAAGCAUUAAGUAUUCCACCUGGGGAGUACGCCGGCAACGGUGAAACUCAAAGGAAUUGACGGGGGCCCGCACAAGCAGUGGAGUAUGUGGUUUAAUUCGAAGCAACGCGAAGAACCUUACCAGGACUUGACAUCCUAUGAAUCCGGCGUAAUGGCUGGAGUGCCCUUCGGGGAGCAUAGAGACAGGUGGUGCAUGGUUGUCGUCAGCUCGUGUCGUGAGAUGUUUGGUUAAGUCCAGCAACGAGCGCAACCCCUGUUGCCAGUUACCAGCACGUGAAGGUGGGGACUCUGGCGAGACUGCCCAGAUCAACUGGGAGGAAGGUGGGGACGACGUCAGGUCAGUAUGGCCCUUAUGCCCAGGGCUGCACACGUACUACAAUGCCCAGUACAGAGGGGGCCGAAGCCGCGAGGCGGAGGAAAUCCUGAAAACUGGGCCCAGUUCGGACUGUAGGCUGCAACCCGCCUACACGAAGCCGGAAUCGCUAGUAAUGGCGCAUCAGCUACGGCGCCGUGAAUACGUUCCCGGGUCUUGUACACACCGCCCGUCACAUCAUGGAAGCCGGUCGCACCCGAAGUAUCUGAAGCCAACCGCAAGGAGGCAGGGUCCUAAGGUGAGACUGGUAACUGGGAUG